rnacentral:rRNA from 1 species
UGGGGAAUUUUGGACAAUGGGCGAAAGCCUGAUCCAGCAAUGCCGCGUGUGUGAAGAAGGCCUUCGGGUUGUAAAGCACUUUUGUCCGGAAAGAAAUCCUUGGCUCUAAUACAGUCGGGGGAUGACGGUACCGGAAGAAUAAGCACCGGCUAACUACGUGCCAGCAGCCGCGGUAAUACGUAGGGUGCAAGCGUUAAUCGGAAUUACUGGGCGUAAAGCGUGCGCAGGCGGUUUGCUAAGACCGAUGUGAAAUCCCCGGGCUCAACCUGGGAACUGCAUUGGUGACUGGCAGGCUAGAGUAUGGCAGAGGGGGGUAGAAUUCCACGUNUAGCAGUGAAAUGCGUAGAGAUGUGGAGGAAUACCGAUGGCGAAGGCAGCCCCCUGGGCCAAUACUGACGCUCAUGCACGAAAGCGUGGGGAGCAAACAGGAUUAGAUACCCUGGUAGUCCACGCCCUAAACGAUGUCAACUAGUUGUUGGGGAUUCAUUUCCUUAGUAACGUAGCUAACGCGUGAAGUUGACCGCCU